GGAACAAACUGAUCUUAACUCCAGGAACCAUAGAUGGGAGCACAGACGUUGAUUUCCUAUGGUUACUGCACGACUAUAAACUUAAAACAGUCGUUGUACUUAAUGAAAAGAUGGAAUCCUAUAUUCCCGAUCAAGGCAAAAAUACUGUAACCGGACCAUUCAGUGGGAAAUUGGUUUCAAAAAUCACACAAAGUCAUUACGAAGAGCUAGUUGUAAAAUACCAAUAUUACGCAGAGCACGAAAGUUUUGAUGUUCGAUUUCUCCUCUUCUCGUCAUGGCAAAAGAAGACAAAAGUGUGCAAGAUAUCAUAUAUAAUGCAUUUGUUGAUUGGUGCCCAAGACAUAGCGACUGAUUGUCCAAUGGUUGCCCAGUGUCGUGACGGAUACACCCGCAGUGGUCUGUUCGCGGUUUUGUGGUGUAUUGUGGAGAGGAUGAAACGGGACGGGGAAGUGGCCGUGGCUGAAAGCGUUAGGAUGACCAAGCGUCGAUGUCAACGAAUUAUUCCUAAUCAGGUACAUGUCUGUUUCUUGGCUUAAAUUAAACAAGUGUAUAUUGAGGAAAAUGAACACUGCUUUCUGGCGUUAACGGAAUACUUUGAGGAUUCGUGUUCAUGCAUAAUAUUGUACACACUCUGUUAUGUGUUCCAAUUCCAGGAGAAAUAUCGGUUUUGCAACGAGUUCGCAAAGCAAUAUGCGGAUGGCUGCAAUACAUACGAAAAUACAGACGAUGGAAUUAGGGGGGAAAAAAAAUAACAACCUGCUUCUUUGCAUAAAACCUUCGAUGACGUACACGGACGGAUGAUGUAAUCCCUAUAGAUGAUCAAAAUACUAAUAAUUGAUAUAUACAAACUAUUAACAUUGAUUGACAUCAAAAAAUGUUGGUAUUAAAUGGGAAUUAUUUUGAAACUGAUGGUUUAUAAAAAUAAUGAAAAUUAUGAAAAAGAGGAUACAAGAAAAAAAAACAGAGUAGACCAAAAAUCGACAAUAGUUUGAUAGUUUGAUACCUUAAUAUGAAUUAUCAACAAAACAUAAGAUCCUUAUCUUUUGAGAUAUUUUAUGUGUAUUAGCAUAGUAUAUAUGGUAUGAGGACAUUAGAUGAUAAAUGCAACGAUACAAAAACGUUUCAUAUUGUAUUUCAUGUGCGCAAAAAUAUAACUUAACAUUCAUAAAAUUUCUCAGUUUCAUUCGUUUUUAUGAAAGUGAAAUGAUUUUUUGAACGAAUCUGUUUUACACUUGUGUUAUUCAUACUUUGUGUUUUUAUAUUCAAGUGUUCCUUUUAAGAUCUAUGUUAAGAAAAUAUGUUGAUUAUCUUAUAAUCUUAUAUCAAGAUCUAUUGCCAAAUGUUUUUUUAUACGUUACCCUUGUUUAUAAACAGUUUUGUUCGAAUAGUCUAUGCAAUGCUAUUUAUUAACAAUCAUUGAUUUGAUAUAUUUUUAUACACAGUCUCUUAUUGAAUCAUUCCUUUUAUAAAGUAAACUUGUAUAAAAAUCGUUCAAAUAUGCAUUUAUACUUUAACAUUUUUAAUAAGUAAAGCAUCGUUGACCAAUACUUGAUAUGUCAUCUUUUUAUUAAUCAAUUUUUAUAGGUUUUAUAUCUCCUAUCAAUUGCAAUACUAAUAUUGAGACAUAGGCAUGACGAAGUAUAUUUAAUCUGAUUUGGAGCAUUCAUUUGCUCUAAUCAGCAGACACAUUUGUUUAAAGCUUCCUGUUUGAAACUUAACUAAUUUUAGAGUUGAAAACUGUAUUGAUCGUUGCGUUAUGACACAAAUUUGGGACAUGGUCUUUGCAAGCGGUUGUAAAAUAGACACUUCCGCGUGUAAAUUACCAUCUCCUAUAUUAUGUUACUGAAGUUAAAUGUGAUAAUGGCAGCUUAUGAAUAAUAUUAACCUUCAAAUCAGGAAGAGAAUAGUUCGUUGUUACAUAUAUGGCUGAUCUAAUGAUCAACUUGGCAAUCUACGUAUUUUGUACUGUGAUAGCAUAAUUGUUAAUAUUAUACAUUAGCCAUUUUUUUAAAUAACCGUUCGCUUUUUUUGCCAUCCAGACUUAUAGGUAUUUUCAUUUUGAAGGAUGCUGUCCAUCUUAUUUAUGCGUAUGCGAUACAUUCAUAAUUUAUACUUGAUUCAAUACUUAAUUAACAUAAACUGUAAUGCAUACACACAUGAAUUUUCAUUAAACGUGCAAAUAUUGUGUUUGUAUAAAAGACAAACUCGGCAUGCAUUUUUAAAACCCAAAAGAAGGCAUGUCGUAGUCGCUUCGUCCGUCAGAGGGUGGGUAGCUCUGUUGGGGUUGAUAUGGGUGCUCAAUAGUCCGGAAUCGUUUGCGCUGUCUCCAAUAAUGUUACUGUUCUACAAGUUAGGUGGAUCUGGAUAUAUUUGAGGCUGUAUUUCCCAUUCUGUGUCCAUUACAAGUAACUCAACAAUUAAAUGUCAACGGUCUCCGAUGUCUGGUUUUCACGUUUAUGGAUGGAUUUUUUGAUACAACUAUAAUAAAUUGUCAUUUCACAUCGACCAAUCAAUUAUCGAGUACAACUAUUAUAUUUACUUCAAUGUCAGUUCUAAAAGGUAUUUUGAUUUUACUGCUGUUAAGUAGUAAACGAAUUGCGAUAAAACUGCAAUUUAAAAAAACGGGCAGCUAAAGGGUUAGGUAAAAACUUAGAUCGAGAACGUUGAUGAAAGCUAGUUUCUUGUUAAGAUCUUAUAAAGGAUUUGUUAUUUCAGAGUAUAAUGUCCAAUAAGAAAGCAAAGAAUUGUGUAUAAUACCCAAGGCCGUCGGUCAGAUGUCAAGGCCAUAGUUAAAUGUCAAGUGACUUUUAUUCAAGAUUUCUAAUAUUAUUUUAGGGGACUGAUCAUUAUUAUGAGGGAAUGUACCACAUAUAAGAAAUGUGUCUACUGCUGAAAUGUGAUUAUGUGUAUUAAUGGCAUAUAUUUGACUUGUGUUAUUGUAUUUCUAUGCCACUCUCAGACACGAUAUGCUUCGUGGGCAAAUAUCACAAAUUGUAGAAAGACUUGUUUUACUUUAUAUAAAUUAUCGUUUCUAUCUAACAUAUUGUAUAUGCAUAAUUUGCAUUUAAUGUGGUUACAUACCUUUAUACUUAUUUUGUUUUCUGUUUUAAACGCUUUCACGUGUAUAUUAUAUAUCGGUAGCCGUAUUAAAUGAAGUAUUUAGCUUUCGUAAAAUGUAAGUGUUGUUGUGUAUUAUCCCAGUUGUUGAUCAAAUUCCUUAUGUGGAAAAUAACAAACCAGUGUUUGCGUUUGGUCAGAAAAAGAAAAUGUUGGAGUGUUAAUUGUUAUCAAAAAAUAAAAUGUCGUUCUGAUUGUACUUAAUCAAUUUUCUAGCGCCUCAAAAAGUGUUAAUGCUGUGUGUUGUUCUUGUGUAUCUUAACCAUUGAGUAAUUAUAUUGUAAUUAAAUCCUGUUAUUGUUA